CUUCCGUAGGGUGAACCUGGCGGAGGGAUCAUUACCGAGUUU
rnacentral:rRNA from 1 species